rnacentral:ncRNA from 1 species
UAUCAAGGGGUGCUUGCUCCGUUUUGAGCAGGCUGAGAUGAUACCCUUCAAAACCUGAUUCGGGUAAUGCCGACGUAGGGAUGAUAAGAU